rnacentral:lncRNA from 1 species
UUUGACUUUAAAAGUCUACUGUAAUGGGUAAAGGUCGCUCUUAACCUGGCCAUUGAGGGGCUCAGGUGAAGCAGAUGAAAAGGAGAUGAGGGGUGUGCCUCAUUGCUUCUAUCUCAAAUCAGAGAGAGCAUCAAAGAAAGUGUGGGAGUUCAGAAAGUAGGAACUCUCUCCACAUUAUUGACUCGAUUAGAUCUUGGGUAUUUA